rnacentral:rRNA from 1 species
GGAGUUAGCCGGGGUUUCGUUUACCAGGUACUGUCAUUAUCAUCCCUGGCGAAAGAGCUUUACGACCCUAAGGCCUUCUUCACUCACGCGGCAUGGCUAGAUCAGGCUUGCGCCCAUUGUCUAAGAUUCCCCA